CUCUCUCUUUCUCUUCUCCCUCAUGGAGAUGGAGGCGUGUGGUGGCUGCUGGCAUCCUGCCUGUGUGGUGUGGAGUGUUGUCGGGCUGUAAAAUCAGGUAUGCGUGAUCUGUGAUCUGGCUCUAUCUAUUCAGUUAUUUUAUGCUGUGUUUGACUCUGGUUUCGCUCCGCUGCAGCAGUGUGAUGUGACUGGGAGCUGGGCUGUCUCCUGGAGUCUGUGUGGACACAGUGCGCUUCUCGUGGGUAAGAUUCUGGUCUAUCUCCAACUUUAGGCUGUGAUGGUUUGGUGAGGGUACUGAUCAAUCUUCGCUCCCAGUCUUGAAUGGCAAAGUCGGGGCGGUGCGCGUCCUCCUCCUGUUGCCCGACAAUCCAAACAUGCUCUCUGGUAGGAAAAUUUAUUCGUCAGUUUUGAUUUAUUUUGUAUCUUUUUCUGGGUUCGGGUUUAAUUAGUUAAUUAGUUUCUUUUACAGUGCGUGGCCUUCAUCUGCCGCUGUCUUGGCUCUCUUCGCUCUCUUCGCUCUUGGCUUUUUUUUUCGGGAUUUGUUCUGCCUCUCUGCAGGCUGCAGCCACGCUGUUGUGGCUCACCGUGACUCCUGGUACCCUAACCUCUCCAGAGGCAAAGGCCGGCUGCUCCCUGGUUGCAGAGAGACCGUACACUAGACCAGCUGCGCUCCGCCUGCGCUGAAAGCUGACCAGGUUUGAAUCGGCGAGCUUUCAGCGCACUUUAUACGCUGGUGGCGAGCACGAAAAUGUCACUGUGUCCACUGAUUCUGUCGACACCUCCCCCUGCCAUGCCACCACGCUGGCUUGGCAGAUCUCAGUGCGCCUCAGUCCACGAAAAUACCAAGCUGGCUGUAUGCCGGGCUCUGCCAGACGAAAAUACAACUGCGCGGUGUCUAUCACCCUCCGCCGCCUCACCGGCGGACACGUAAAUAGAGCCCGUUGUCAUGAUCCAAUACUAUGGUUUUUUUAAAUAUGAAAUCAUUUUCUUUCACUUUAAGAAGCUAAUGGAUGGGAUGCAGGGGAUACAUUCUACGGCAGGGGUGCAUUCAAAGGAGAAUAAGGGGGAGACGAAUUUAAUGUCUUGUCAACUUCAUCAUGUGUGACUGUUUACUGGAUCUUUAAUUAAAUGCGGUUUCAGCUGUGUUAAUUCAGUCAGGUUGAGUGUCCAAACGUGUGCCAAAUGCACUCAUCAGAUAAGAUAUAGAUCAGAAUAUAUCGAUACAGAUCUAAAUGUAUGUGCUGAUUCAGAUAGUUGCACUGAAUAUUGGUUGUUGUGGAUUAUUUAUUGCACUGAAAUGUGCCUGACACUGUGGAAACCUGCCAGUGAGGGAUCGGUGAUGUAUGCGCACUACGCCACCGGUCAACUGGAAUACCACUAGACCAUCUGCGCUCCACCUUCGGUGAAAGCUGACCAGGUUUGAAUCGGCAAGCUCUUAGUGCACUUUUCACGCCACCGGCAUGAACAAAAAUGUCACUGUGCAGCUGAUUCCGUCGACACCUCCCCCUACCGCGCCACCACACCCAGCUGGGGCACCUUGGUGUGCCUUGGUCUACGAAAAUACCAAAACCGGUUUGUGCCGGGCUCCGCAAGAUGAAAAUACUACUGCGCAGAGUGCACUAUCGCCCGCCGCGGUGCACAAAAAUAGAAAUUAAAAAAAUAAAAAUAAAAUAAAAUAAAGUUUAAGAGCUGCCACAUUCUCGUGUCUUUUGUUGUUGCCUGUACCAUAAAUAAAACUAGUGAGUGUAAAAACUUGAUCAAAGGAGUUAAAAACCUUGGUUAAAAG